AAUGUUUCCGUAAGUAUCUGCACAACGGCUUCACUUCCUUCCCAGGCCGCGGUGCUCAAACCACAAAUGGCGUGGGCUGGGCUCAGGCUCACGUUGGGAGCACAUCUUCCUCCCUUUCUCUUCUGGUGGGUUCGUAUGGGGGUGGGGAAGUGGGUGGGAGGGAAUGUUUUGCAUUCAUUCUUUUUGAAUAUUAGUCAAAUUGGGCCAUUAAAUGGAACAUCCCAAAUUUUCAUAGGUACUUUCAAUCCUAGUUGCCAUUCUUUCUGACUAUAAUCUUUCAUCCAAACGUGACACAAAUGUGUAAUAUGUGCUUGAGAGCCAUAACUUGGUGGGCUUGCAAGAGGACAAUGGACACCCGCCUUUUCCACAUCAGCUGGGCAGGAUGCAGACAGGGGCACCCUCUCCCUCUAUUUUCAGCGUCCUCAAAAUGGCAAAAAUGUAGCUAGGGUCCUAUCUGUGCAUUAAUAGACAAAAGAAGCAGAGAGAAUGACUAGGGCAUUAUAUGUUAUUUUCAAAGAAGCAGUUGUUGACACAACUAGGGAAGAAAUACGAACCGAUCCUCCAGCACACACAUAACACUGAAAAGCAGUGUUUAGACAUUAUUUAUUUUUAUUUUUGAGAUGGAGUGUCGCUCUGUUGCCCCAGCUGGAGUGCAGUGGUGGGAUCUCGGCUCACUGCAGCCCCUGCCUCCCAGGUUCAAGCAAUUCUCCUGCCUCGAGUAGCUGGGAUUACAGGCGUGGGCCACAGCACCCGGCUGAUUUUUGUAUUUUUAGUAGAGAUAGGGUUUCACCAUCUUGGCCAGACUGGUCUCAAACUCCUGACCUCAGGUGAUCCGCCUGCUUCAGCCUCCCAAAGUGCUGGGAUUAUAGGCGUGAGCCACCCCACCCGGCCUAGACAUUGUAUUUUUAUAUCACCUUUAACAACCUCAUGAUGCUUUUGUGUGUAUUAUGGGAUUGUAUUUAUGGCCUUGUCCCUGCAUUGUGGAUGUCAAGGGUCAGUUGCCACGUGCUUAGUCAUAUACCUAAACUCAGGGAACACACACACGCAUGCUUAUGGACUCACACACACUCACACUCUUACCCACACUCAUUCUAGCCACACUCACACUCAUAUAUACUCACCAAUACGCUCACACUCACACAUAUCCUUACACACCCACACUCUCACAUACCCUUACACACGCACACACACCCUUACACACUCACACUCACGCUAGCCACUCACUCAUAUGUAUCACCAGUAUGCUCACGCAUGUACCCUUACACACCCACACUCAUACUAGCCAUACUCACACUCAUAUAUACCAAUAAGCUCACACACAUACCCUCCCACACUCACACAUACCCUUACACACUCACACAUACUCUUACACGCCCACACCCACACACAUACCCUUACACACCCACACAUACCCUUACACACCCACACUCACCCUAGCCACUCAUAUAUACUCACCAAUAAGCUCACACAUGCAUAGCCUUACACACACAUCCUUACCCACAUUUACACACACUCAUACCCUUACACUGUCACACUCACAUGUACCCUUACACACCCACUCUCACACACACCCUUACCCACACUCUCACACACCCUUACACACCCACACUCUCACACACACCUUUACACACCCACUCACACACAUACCCUUACACACCCCCACACACCCUUAUACACCCACACUCACACUCUAGCUACACCCACACUCAUAUAUAGUCACCAAUAUGCUCACACUCUCACACUCACAUGCUGUCGUGCUCGCUCACACUCAUACCGUUGCACACUCACAUGCUCUCACACACUCUCACGGUGAAAUCUGUGCCUGCCACCACACUCGGGUUGUGAUGUGUGUUUCACUUUUAGCUCCUCUAAGGUUUUACUCACCCUGGCUCCACCAAACUGGAUUUUACCAUAGUCUAUACUUAAAUAUUGUUCAUCUCUUCUUCUACACAAAAGUAUUAAGAAUUUACCUGCCUGUAAGUUAUUGGAAUAUCCUGGGCAAAAGCAAAUAAAACUUUUCCUUUUCCCUUGUUCGACACCCCCUCAUCAGUGACCCCCACGACACGACCCCACCACCCUAUCUUUUCCCUUGUUUGACACCCCCUCAUCAGUGACCCCCACGACACGACCCCACCACCCUAUCUGGCUUGGCAUGUGAUGCUUCAGGAAGGGCACGGGGUUUACAUGGCUCCUGUUACCCUCUAAGCCUCAGAAAACAUUGGCACAGGCAGAGAGGAGAGCUGUCAUCUGAGUCUCUCUGUGGGAUCCUGGGCUCUUAGGGAAAGGCCAGACAGGGAGGGGCGGGAGAGAUUUCUGUGGCCUCCAAGAUUCCUGGGAAGGCGAAGUCUGGAUUUCCUUGGAGAGGAAGGAGGGCUUAGGCCAGCCACAUAAUUAGGGUGCAGUAGACAAACAGAAAUCAUUUCUUUUGGUCCCUCAUCUGCCUCAAGGCUGCGUUUGCUCCACAUGGCCGCACAGGCACUUGCGUCUGUGCCCUUCGGGGCUGGCAGAGAUGGAGGAGGAAGCCUUAAGCACCGUCUCUCCUGAUUAGCGCUCCACGCAGCUUCUCUUCACAGCCCCUCCCACCCACUGUGUCCCACUACUCAGACACAUGGGCCGUGGGCACAGAGGGAAAGGGACCUUGGGAAGAAUAGGGAGCCAAGCCACUCUUCACCCUCCCGGGUGUCGCCCAUAGUGGGGCACAUGGGGACACAGUGGCCACUCACCCCCUGCCACUGAGUCCCACAGUGCAGCUGCGCCUGUGGUCAGAUGCCACAGGGACACCAUAGCAUCCGUAGAGUGUGUCAUUUGCUUGGUGCACGAGGGCCGGAUGAUGUCCCCAGAGGCUCACUGGCUUCCCACAGCACAGAGGGACCUGGCACCGCUACCCCAAGAUGGAAUUGUUAAAACUACGUCCAUUUUUAUUUUUAAAAGUAUGAUGUCAAUGCAUAGAAUAAAAAUUGCUUUCUGUCAGAUGCUUCUUUAUUCAAGCCCCUAAAGAAAUGUUUUCUUGCCUAAGACAGCUCAUAUUAAAAUGUCUAAAGCCCAAAAGAAGUCUAAUAAAUUUCAGCUUUAUGACUUUGUUUACUCUGGGUGUAGAAAAAGAAGUCUUUUAUACGUAGCCUAGUUUCCAGAACUUCCAGGGUCAAAAGUUAACAAAUUUGGGGAAAACAGAAGAGAAAAGAUAGCAUACAGUAUUCUGUUUUCCUAUUAAAAUGAGGAAAACAAAGGAGUCAUCAGAACUAUAAUUUAUGGGAAAGUGUGCAGACAUCCAUCUGCUUUUAUUGAAAAAAUACCCUGCAGAUGUUGGGCCUAAUUAUGAAUCCUCCAUUUUCUUGGUGAAAAACUUUAGUGGCAUCUCAAUCUCUGAUCGGUAAACUGGGUGUCGUAGCACUUACAAAAUAGAAUUAUUUCAUUGAUCUUUAGCCAUCUAUUAUUUUUUUGUAGAUGAGAGAGCAUUCAGCAUGAAGGCUGUUUCUAUCUGAAUACUAAAUGUUGGUUUCAUUCCCACAGGUUCACAGCAAACAGGAUUCCUAAAUGCCCUUAAGGACAGUCCUGCAAGCGUCCUGGAGGCUGUGGUGUGCUUCUUCUCUGUCUGGUCCAUCGUUGGCCUCUCAGGAUUCCACACCUACUUGAUCAGCUCCAACCAGACGACAAAUGAGGACGAUUAUCUGCCUACACUUGAUACAGAUGGAGAGGAAGUAUGAAAAUAGGAAACAAGGCCGGGCGCGGUGGCUCAUGUCUGUAAUCCCAGCACUUUGGGAGGCCGAGGCGGGCGGAUCACGAGAUUAAAGGAUCCUGGUCAAAUAAAAGAGGUAAAGAAAAUUACAAUCCCUACAGCUACGGAAAUAUCUUUACCAACUGCUGUGUUGCCCUGUGUGGGCCCAUCUCACCAAGCCUAAUCGACAGAAGAGGGUACAUCCAGCCCGACACGCCGCAGCCAGCAGCACCCUCCAAUGGCAUCACCAUGUACGGGGCCACGCAGUCACAGAGUGACAUGUGCGACCAAGACCAGUGCAUUCAGAGCACCAAAUUCGUUUUGCAGGCCGCGGCCACGCCCCUGCUGCAGAGCGAGCCCAGCCUCACCAGCGACGAGCUGCACCUGCCCGGGAAGCCUGGCCUGGGCACGCCCUGCGCCAGCCUCACACUGGGCCCGCCCACACCGCCCGCCUCCAUGCCCAACCUCGCCGAGGCCACGCUCGCGGACGUGAUGCCCCGGAAAGAUGAGCACAUGGGCCACCAGUUCCUGACGCCUGAUGAGGCGCCCUCGCCCCCCAGGCUACUGGCGGCGGGCAGCCCCCUGGCGCACAGCCGCACCAUGCACGUGCUGGGCCUGGCCAGCCAGGACACCCUGCACGAGGACUCUGUGCGCGGCCUGGUGAAGCUCAGCUCCGUGUGACCCACGUGGCCCCGGGCCGGGGGGCACCAGAGGCUCCUCCACGGGCAGCAGGAGUGAGCGGAGGGGUGUGUCCCACAGCGACUUUCCCAGCCAAUGCCACGGUGGAGAUGACAGCCCCAGGUCUGGGGUGCAGAGACCACUUAGGAUGGCACAGGGUGGCUGGUCCCGGAUGCUGAGAGCUUGGUUUCAUUUGAAUUUUCUUCCCCAACCUGAGUGCUUUGACAACAAUGGAAAUAGAGAAGCGGCUGCUUUCUUUUGGUGACCCUCCAGGGGUGGAAUCGGAGUGUGUCUGCCCGCCCUUGUGACAGACACACGGAAGGCUUCUGACGCUUGUGGCCAGACUGCAAUUGCACUUACGUGUUAUGCUACUAAUAUUUGAAACAGACCUGCCAUUCCAUUUGUUAAUUUAAAAAAAAUCCUAAAGGGAAAAAACCGACCAGGUGUGGAUCUGCAUGCCACGCUGCCGUCUGUGUUACAGUGGUGUUGCUAUUUCCAAGGAAGUGCUGCUUUCUUUUUCUUUUUUUAAUUUUGUGAAUUUUCAAGUGCUGUUUUGUUGGAAGACAGUGCAACGAACCGAGACUAAUGGACAGUGUCAUCACUCAGCUUACUGGGCUGAGGCGUCUGUGGAGAGGUGGCACCGGGGCUGCAGAGGGCGGCUGGGGUUCCGUCGUGUCGGGUGUCACUUCACCUUCUGUUUGGCCGCUCGAUGAGGUCUCGUGUUGAGGUAUUGUGUGCCACAACCCCCAAAGUCUUCACCUCCGUGUGUGAUGAAACUUCCCGUGGACAGCCAAUAAAAUGACGUCCUCUGUU
rnacentral:sRNA from 1 species